rnacentral:rRNA from 1 species
UACGAAGGGGGCUAGCGUUGUUCGGAAUUACUGGGCGUAAAGGGCUCGUAGGCGGCCAGCUAAGUCAGACGUGAAAUCCCUCGGCUUAACCGGGGAACUGCGUCUGAUACUGGAUGGCUUGAGUGUGGGAGAGGGAUGCGGAAUUCCAGGUGUAGCGGUGAAAUGCGUAGAUAUCUGGAGGAACACCGGUGGCGAAGGCGGCAUCCUGGACUGGUCCUGACACUGAGGCGCGACAGCGUGGGGAGCAAACAGG